ensembl:lncRNA
CCAGACCCCUGCCUGUGAAUGGAGGUAGUUUAGGGUUUAACCAGAACCCUGGCUGUGAAUGGAGGUAUUUUAGGGUUUACAGAUUUCGCUCCCUUUAAACCUGCUACAUUGUGAUCCUUACAGAAAGCUACAGCCAGCGAUCUUAACAAGAAAGGCUGAUAACGAAUCUCCUUGUUGAAGUCCUUAUCAUGUCAAAGGAGAAGAGAUAGUACAGUUUAUAAACAACAACAACCCUCUGUGAUUCAGGACUCUAGGAUGUCGGGCUGAUGUAUUCAAUAAUCUGACAGAUCCUCACCUUGUCUCAGUAGGCUGAUUUCCGUCUCCAAACCUAACAGGUUCUGAUCACCCCUCCAUGGAGCGGUCUAAAAGGAACACUGUGGCCUCAGCUGGCCUACUGAGUGUGCAGAACAUCUGCAUUAAAACAGGUCUCAGUUGGAGGGAUUUCCAGAGUGGAUUGAUGGGCAGGUCAACAUGUUGGCUCAAGCAGGUACUACAAGACCUGCCUCAUGUUGAAGGCGAGGACAUCAGACUGUGAGCCAUGCAGCUGCACAUGACGGAUCUAUGGAUGCUGGACUGUGUUUUUUGAGUCGUACCUCUCCUCUUCUGAGCUGUGGCCAUCUUUUGGUUCAGGAGGUUGACCCAUAGAGCCAUCAAUCUUCAAGGAGACACAGCUGGGUCCAGGGGAGUCUGCUCGCUGCUGCUGCUGCUCUGGGCUUCAACACAACACACAAACACAGUUUUUACUCAGAUUAAUGAUGGUGUCAUGAUGUAUCACUGCUGAGUUCUGAGAUGAACAAAGGUCACAGAUAGUUGGAGAUCUGCUCUGACUAUUGGAUGUGAAGCCUGGACAGACAAAACUUUAUCAACAGUUUGAAGGUCCACAAGUAUUUAGUUUUCUCCUCUUUUCUCCUUGUUAUGUCUGAUCAAUAGAGUCUGAUAACAACCAAUUGUUCUGGUUCAUCAUUUGUUUGAAACUCCUACCUCUCUUCUUUGGAGGGGCCUCCAUCUUUAAGGACAGGAAAUUCAUUCUUGCACAGGUCACUCCUCAUGAGGACAUCACUGGGUCCAGGUUGGUCUGCUGUCUCCGGUUGGACUCUUCUAGAUAUUUUUAGAUUCAAAUGUUUUAUUGCUUUUCAGGUAAUUACAUGGUAGAGUUAAACUAAAAUUAGUUUAGGGCAUAAAGUGUUCCUAUUUUAAAGUUAAAGAGCACCUAUUAUGCUUUUUCAACUGUUAUGACCUAUAAACGUUGUUAUAAUGAUUUAUAGUCAUGUUUAACCAUACUUAAGUGUCAAAUAAUGACGUACAUGCAUUUAGACGUAUUCCCUGCUGACCGUCUGGGGUGGUUAUGCAGAGCGCUAAACACUAGGGAAGCCAGUCGCGAUUCACUUGUUCAAAUUUCCGGGAUUUAUCUACCCUGAACACUCCUUCCCUUUUUUAAAGAUGUAAAUAAACUAAGCUGUUCUCUUCUUGAGAAAAAACAACAACCAUCUGUGAUUCAGGACUCUAGGAUGUCUGGUUGAUGUAUUUAAUAGUCUGACGGAUCCUUACCUUGUCUCAGUAGGCUGAUUUCCAUCUCCAAACCUAGCAGGUUGUUCCAUAGACCAGUCGCUCCUCAUGGAGACACCGCUGGGUUCAGGGGGGUCUGCUCUCUCCUGCUGGACUCUUCUAGAUAAUUUUAGAUUCAAAUGUUUUAUUGUUUUUCAAGUCAUCACAUUGUAGAGAUACAAUAAAAGUAGUUUAGGGCAUAAAGAAGUCGUAUUUUAAAGUUAAACGCUGGAUAUAAUGGAUUCAUGAGUUGUAAACGUCCUUCUCGCUGUGU